CAAAGAGAAGGUGCCAUCAUGUGAAUGCGAAACAGCCAAAUGAGAAACGGGGCACCUGGGAAGGUUGAGCUGAAACUGCUUGUGCACAGGAUGACAGACUGAUUUGCUGUUGGAGACGAGAUUCAGGAAACCCCGCUCCUCCAAAAGACUACCGAGUGAGAGGAGAAGAACAGGAGGAAGCACACAAAAGAGCGAUGGGAAUUGAGGGCCAUGGUUACUUGAGAUAAAUGGCAGAUCCCUGGGAGUCUAGCCUUGUAGCUGUUUGCUUUAGCUUUGUUUCUCUCCGCAGCUGCUCUUUCUUUUUUGCGAGCUGCUGCUGGGUACUGCCACGGCGGCACUGGAGAUUUCAAGAGCGACGUGGGUGCAGAGUGUGAGGAGGGGGUGGGCAGCCCGCCUCACCAUGAUUCAGUUGUGGAAAGUGGUGCGGCACGUGCGACAGCUAGAGCUCCACAGAUUGAUCCUGCUGCUCAUUGCCUUCAGCCUGAUCUCCAUGUGCAUCUUGGCUUACUACGUCACUAACAGUCCCAAAAUCAAGGAGCCACCACCCCUGCCCUUCAGUGACUGCAGCAACCAGCACCGCAUUUUGAUCCCACCGCAAGCCAGCUGGAGGCUCACAAAAUCUGUGGACACCUCACGCACAGAUCCUGUGGUGCUAGUCUUUGUGGAAAGUAUUUACUCGCAGCUGGGGCAGGAAAUAGUGGCCAUCCUGGAAUCUAGCCGGUUUAAAUAUAGGACAGAGAUUGCUCCUGGCAAAGGGGAUAUGCCCACGCUGACAGACAAAGACAGGGGACGCUACGCUCUUAUUAUCUAUGAGAACAUCCUUAAAUAUGUGAACCUAGACGCUUGGAACCGAGAGCUGCUGGACAAAUACUGUGUAGAGUAUGGAGUGGGGAUUAUAGGCUUUUUCAAAGCCAACGAGAACAGCCUACUCAGUGCACAGCUCAAGGGUUUCCCCCUUUUUCUACAUUCCAACUUGGGGCUGCGGGACUAUCACAUCAACCCCAGUGCUCCCCUGCUCUAUGUCACCCGGGCCAAUGAGAUGGAGCAGGGUCCCCUGCCUGGUGAUGACUGGACUGUGUUCCAGUCAAACCACAGCACCUACGAGCCAGUGCUGUUAGCCAGCACGAAGUCCUCGGAGUCCAUUCCUCACCUGGCCACCCACAAAGCAUUGCAUGCCACAGUGGUGCAGGACCUGGGUCUGCAUGACGGGAUCCAGCGCGUUCUCUUUGGCAAUAACCUCAAUUUUUGGCUGCACAAACUCAUUUUCGUGGAUGCCAUUGCCUACUUGACUGGCAAGCGCCUCUGUCUCACACUUGAUCGCUAUGUCCUCGUCGACAUUGAUGAUAUAUUUGUGGGAAAAGAGGGCACUCGCAUGAAAGUGUCUGAUGUAGAGGUAAAAUCCCCAGAACAACUAUAG